UCCUGUUGAGUGGUGGGAUGCUACUAUGAAGCUAAUUUCUAACUUAACAGAUCAAGUAAUUAGUUUUCAAGAGCAAAUUACCAGAUUAAGUUCUCCGGGGAUCUCACCAGCCACCGGAAGGCAUCAGUCAUCAGGACAGGAACAACAUAGUCCAGAAGCACCUGUCUUCCCAUCGAGGCCGAGAGUGUCAUCACUCUCACGACCUAUUAUUAUUAUGAAUAAUAGUAAUAUGAAGUUUUGCCAUUUUGUGCUUGUAAUUUGCAAACACAACAGAUAUCUAUAACUGAAAAAACAGAAAAAAUUACAGAAAAUAUUUUAUAUAAAAUCAAAUUUUAUGGAAGACAAAUAUACUUAAAUCAAGC
rnacentral:lncRNA from 1 species